rnacentral:lncRNA from 1 species
CUGCAAUGUUGAGGCUGCUGAGUCACUCGUGUCUGUCAGUCCUGUACCUCUGGGUAUACUGGACACAAUGUAUCUGGAUCCCUUUGGCACAGGCUGUCUGACCACCAGCUUUCCUUUCCUGGUCUCUGCUAGAAACAGACUGUACCAGUAGGCAUCGUUGGACACCAGAGUGGAGUCUGCGAUGGUGGAGUUCCUCUCACUGAUCACACUGUUCCUGCAGGGAGGAGCCGCUUUGCUGGGCUUGGUUUUCUGACACUUGAGCACGAUGGUGACCAGUAUGGUGAUGAGCAGGAGAAAUGACACCGAGCCCAGACCGAUGACCAAGUACAGGUUCAGGUCAUUGAAGAUGUCGUACGCCAGAGGCACCUCAGUCAUGUCAGCGUAGGCCUUGACAGCAGUCUCCACUGUGGACAGCUUGAUGGUGACUGUAGCAGACAAAGCGGGCUGCCCGUUGUCCUUGGCAACAACAACCAGUCUCUGGUGGCGUGGGUCUCUGUAGCUGAACAUCCUCAUAGUCCGGAUCUCUCCGUUGUACUGGUCCAGACUGAACAAGGUGGCAUCAGUCACCUGCAGAAACUGGUAGGUGAUCCGAGAGUUGUGCACAGAGUCUGUGUCCAAGGCUAUCACCUUGGCAACCAGAGAGCCUUUAUCUGUGGACCUGGGGAUCUUUUCCUCCACCACUGAGCCGUGUGCUCGCCACGGAGACACAAUGACCGGAGCAUUAUCAUUCUGGUCCACAAUGAUGAUGUGGACUGUGACGUUACUGCUGAGAGGAGGAGAGCCAGAGUCUCUGGCCUCAAUGUGGAAAAGAAAGUCCUUCUCAAUCUCAUAGUCAAAAGUUUUGAGUGCGUAAAGAUUUCCGUUCUCUGGAUUGAUGGAGAACAGCAUGGACAUGGAGGUGUUGGCUAUCUCCUUCUCCAGGAUGAAAUAAACUAGAUACUGGUUUUCAUGGAGGUCAGGGUCAAAGGCAGUGAGGGAGCUGAGCAGGGCUCCAGGUGCGUUAUUCUCCAUCACACGGAUGGUAUAAAAUGACUGAGGGAACUGUGGGACAUUGUCGUUGACAUCCAGCAGCUCUAAGGUCAUAGUUUCAUUGUCAGAUAAAGGAGGAGAACCUCUGUCUGUCACAGUGAAGGUGAUGUCAUAUUCUGGAACCUUCUCACGGUCUAAGGGCUCUGACACCACUAACUCAUAAUAGUUAUCAGAGGACUCUCUCAGUUUGAAAGGCAUAUUAUCUGGAAUAUGAAGAUCAACCACUCCAUUAUCACCAGAGUCUUUAUCACUCACACUAACCACAGCUAUCACUGUGUCUAGUUCUAUGUUUUCAUUGACUGGACUCUGAAAUGAUUUAAUAGAUAUUUCUGGAUGGUUAUCAUUCAUGUCUUCUACCAGAAUCUUUAUGGUACACUGUCCUGACAAACUGUUGGCUCCUUUGUCAGUAGCUAUAAUCUCCAUAUCAUAAAUCCUGAAAUCCUCAUAAUUCAGCAUGCCUUUAACAGUGAUUUCACCAGUGGAGGGAUUCAGGUGAAAUGUUUCCUGUGUUUUCUCUGAAGUGUAUAAACUGUAAGAGUAAGUUACAUCAGAGUUAGAUCCCUCAUCUAGGUCUGUGGCGUUCAGGUGAAUGACAAUACUUCCUAUGGGAGAGUUUUCCAUUAUUUUUACAGUGUUAUUAGUUCUGUCAAAAGUAGGUGCGUUAUCAUUUGUGUCCAAAACAUGAACUAUUACACUUGCAGUACCAGAUCGAGCCGGUGUUCCUCCAUCUACAGCUGUAAGUAUUAAAUUAUGAACAGCCUCCUGCUCUCGAUCUAAAGCCUUAAUCAAAAUUAAAUCGGCAAAUUUCGACCCAUCUCUGCCAGUUUGCACUUCAAUGUCAAAAUAUUGACUGUAACUUAGACGGUAUGUUUUAACUGAAUUACCUCCUAUGUCAGGAUCGACCGCAUUGCUGAGGGAAAAUCGUUCUCCCUUUGGCGUAGAUUCAGAGAUAUCUAGAUGAAUGGCGUCUCUUCUAAAUUGAGGGGCGUUGUCGUUCAUAUCUAAUAUUUCUACUUCUAUGUUGAAAAUUCGAAGCGGAUUCUCGAGAAUAACUUCUAGUUUGAGAUAGCAAGUCGCUGACGUCUUGAAAGGGCAAAGGUGUUCUCUGUCUAUCUUUUCCACAACGUACAGCUCACCAGUCUCUUUGUUCACAUCCAGAUAUUUCUUAUUUGCGAUUAUGUCGAGCCGCAUCUUCCGCUGUUUCAGUGUUUUCACAUCCAAGCUCAGAUCGGCGGCAAGGUUUGCAACAAUUGAUCCUUCUUUCAUUUCCUCUGGUAUUGAAUAAUGAGUCACUGAGGAUGAUAUUAUUCCAACGAAAGUGAAAAGAACAGCGAACAGCACGUACCUCCUGUAGGGCUCCAUUGCUACAAAGCGUCCUAUUGUUGUGUGAACGUGCUGAACUCUGAACGAUUAAAAUCUAUUUUCUGGAAACAUCAGAAAUUACUGUGACCGCAACGAUCGUAUACAUGAUGCCACUGAACUACUCCCGAGCACACUCGUGCGUUAUUAAGGUAAAACGCAUAGUCCGGUUAGAGUUUCAGCACCACGGAGCUGUCCGAUCGUCUAAAGCACUGAUGAAAACCCACUCGUGUCAUGGCGUUUAGGGUCGGCAUUUAAUUUUGAAAACAGCGCCACCCUCCAAUUUUUAGAGAAAUAUUUGCACAAAGAGUGAAGAUUGAAUAAACAGAGGUUUAAAAUGUGUCACUACAUUGUUGUUUUUUUCUUUCCUAUAUAGAGGCAACGGCUGAAUAAUGUUGAAUACAGUCAUUCUCUCGACUUGCACAUUGGAAUUCAUGAAUGUAAAGAUAUUUAGAAUAAAAUAUUAAUUUAGACCCUAAAACUGGAGUAAAAAAACAGAAAAAUUAUGUUUUGUUUUUAAAUACAUCACUGGGUUCAAUCUAAUCAAGAACAGCUCAACACUGUGUUACUUUAGCCCGGUAUUAUGUUUGACGUAUUCACCCCAGUUGCUUGUUUAUUUUACAGGUUAUCAUACUAAAGGGGUGGGGUGAGUAAGAUGAAGCUAUUAUAUAGAGUUAAUGAACUCAGUAAAACACUUAAUUGUCAAGAUAAUGUUCGAAAUAUUCAUAUACUGUACUUAAAGUCAUGUACGGUGCAUAACUAUUUUAAUGACCUUUCAUAAAAAUCUAAAAACUAACUCUACCUUAUAAAAGCAUUCCCUUAAUCAUGACAGUAAAACUGUGCUUUUCAAAAACACUCUUUAAAACAGCAAAUGCAAAGUUGCUCUAAUAUCUGUCCUGUCUGUCUAACAAAUGCUAUAGAGGAGCACGGCUGGUCAUCUGUAAGUAUCAGAGUGGAGGGGUACAGACACCCUCAAGUUUAAAGCAAUAUGUUUGAGCCUGUCUGAGGAGGGAAAGAUACUAAAGAUCAUAUUCAAAAGUAAUGGAUAUGCAGGAUUCAAGUAUACUGAGGUUAUAUGUUAUAAUCUUAAAAUUGAAUUAGAUUUCUUCCCUUGGAAAGGAGAGCUGCACUUUCAUCCUUGAGCAAAUCUAGAGAAUAUCUGAUGGAUGUAUUGUUGAGUGUUGAUCACAGAAAGUCAGUGCUUCACUUAAGUCACAUUACAUCAGUCUGUUCACCAUCUAUCUCUUUUACCUGUUGUCUCUAUUAUGCUGUUUGCAUUAAAUAGACUAUGUUUAGUUUUCAUUCUCUAGUCUUUUGACCACCCAAAGCACUUUUACAUGACAUGUCAAAUUCAUCAAUUCACACCACAUUCACACACAAAUAGCGAAGGCUGCUCUGGCUCCCAUGCAUGAAAAUUGUUUAUUCUUCCCUUCUCUGAUUUUAACUUUGCCUUUUAAAUCUUAAAGAGAAAGGUGCUGGGUUUUUAGUGGUACAGGCAAAACAUUUACUGUUAACACUGCAGCUGUUUGCAUUUGAUUUCAAUUUCAGUUUUUAACUGUCACUGGGAGGAAUCAAACACAGGACCAGACAGAUAGGUUGAACUAUAACAACCCACCUCAAUUCAAAUAGCACAGAAAUUGGCCAUCAAGGUUGAAACAGCCUGAAGUAAAAUUAAGAUAAACAGCAUUUAAAAAAAUUGCAAGAAAAAUGUAAGUCAGACUUGUACCUGCAGAGUGGAGGCUGCUGAGUCACUAGUAUCUGUCAGUCCUGUACCUCUGGGUAUACUGGACACAAUGUAUCUGGAUCCCUUUGGCACAGGCUGUCUGACCACCAGCUUUCCUUUCCUGGUCUCUGCUAGAAACAGACUGUACCAGUAGGCAUCAUUGGACACCAGAGUGGAGUCUGCGAUGGUGGAGUUCCUCUCACUGAUCACACUGUUCCUGCAGGGAGGAGCCGCUUUGCUGGGCUUGGUUUUCUGACACUUGAGCACGAUGGUGACCAGUAUGGUGAUGAGCAGGAGAAAUGACACCAAGCCCAGACCGAUGACCAAGUACAGGUUCAGGUCAUUGAAGAUGUCGUACGCCAGAGGCACCUCAGUCAUGUCAGAGUAGGCCUUGACAGCAGUCUCCACUGUGGACAGCUUGAUGGUGACUGUAGCAGACAAAGCGGGCUGCCCGUUGUCCUUGGCAACAACAACCAGUCUCUGGUGGCGUGGGUCUCUGUAGCUGAACAUCCUCAUGGUCCGGAUCUCUCCGUUGUACUGGUCCAGACUGAACAAGGUGGCGUCGGUCACCUGCAGAAACUGGUAGGUGAUCCGAGAGUUGUGCACAGAGUCUGUGUCCAAGGCUAUCACCUUGGCAACCAGAGAGCCCUUAUCUGUGGACCUGGGGAUCUUUUCCUCCACCACUGAGCCAUGUGCUCGCCAUGGAGACACAAUGACCGGAGCGUUAUCAUUCUGGUCCACAAUGAUGAUGUGGACUGUGACGUUACUGCUGAGAGGAGGAGAGCCAGAGUCUCUGGCCUCAAUGUGGAAAAGAAAGUCCUUCUCAAUCUCAUAGUCAAAAGUUUUGAGUGCGUAAAGAUUUCCGUUCUCUGGAUUGAUGGAGAACAGCAUGGACAUGGAGGUGUUGGCUAUCUCCUUCUCCAGGAUGAAAUAAACUAGAUACUGGUUUUCAUGGAGGUCGGGGUCAAAGGCAGUGAGGGAGCUGAGCAGGGCUCCAGGUGCGUUAUUCUCCAUCACACGGAUGGUAUAAAAUGACUGAGGGAACUGUGGGACAUUGUCGUUGACAUCCAGCAGCUCUAAGGUCAUAGUUUCAUUGUCAGAUAAAGGAGGAGAACCUCUGUCUGUCACAGUGAAGGUGAUGUCAUAUUCUGGAACCUUCUCACGGUCUAAGGGCUCUGACACCACUAACUCAUAAUAGUUAUCAGAGGACUCUCUCAGUUUGAAAGGCAUAUUAUCUGGAAUAUGAAGAUCAACCACUCCAUUAUCACCAGAGUCUUUAUCACUCACACUAACCACAGCUAUCACUGUGUCUAGUUCUAUGUUUUCAUUGACUGGACUCUGAAAUGAUUUAAUAGAUAUUUCUGGAUGGUUAUCAUUCAUGUCUUCUACCAGAAUCUUUAUGCUACAUUGUCCUGACAAACUGUUGGCUCCUUUGUCAGUAGCUAUAACUUCCAUAUCAUAAAUCCUGAAAUCCUCAUAAUUCAGCAUGCCUUUAACAGUGAUUUCACCAGUGGAGGGAUUCAGGUGAAAUGUUUCCUGUGUUUUCUCUGAUGUGUAUAAACUGUAAGAGUAAGUUACAUCAGAGUUAGAUCCCUCAUCUAAGUCUGUGGCAUUCAGGUGAAUAACAAGACUGCCAAUAGGAGAAUUUUCCAUAAUCUUUAUAGUAGAACUUGCUCUGUCAAAAGUAGGUGCAUUAUCAUUGGUGUCUAAAACGCGAACUAUUACACUUGCAGUGCCUGAACGAGCCGGUGUUCCUCCAUCUACAGCUGUGAGUAUUAAAUUAUGAGUAGCAUGCUGCUCUCGAUCCAAUUUCUUUUUUAAGAUUAAUUCGGCAAAUUUCGACCCAUCUCGUCCAGUCUGUAUUUCAAUAUUAAAUUGCUCACUUUCACUUAGAUGAUAUGUUUUAACAGAAUUAAUUCCAACAUCGGGAUCAACUGCGUUGCUGAGAGAAAAUCUCUCUCCUACAGGCGUCGCUUCAGAAAUGUCUAGAUGAAUGACGUCUCUUCUGAACUGAGGGGCGUUGUCAUUUAUAUCUAAAAUUUCCACUUCUAUAUUGAAAAUUCGUACUGGAUUAUCAAGGAUUAUUUCCAGUUUGAGAUAGCAAGACACUGACGAUUUAGUGGUGCAAAUGUAUUCUCUGUCAAUUUUCUCGACAACGUACAGCUCACCAGUCUCUUUGUUCACAUCCAGAUAUUUCUUAUUUGCAAUGAUGUCGAGCCGCAUCCUCCGCUGGUUCAGUGUUUUAACGUCCAAGCUCAGAUCGGCGGCAAGGUUUGCAACAAUUGAUCCUUCUUUCAUUUCCUCUGGUAUUGAAUAAUGAGUCACUGAGGACGAUAUUUUCCCAACGAAAGUGAAAAGAACACCGAACAGCACGUACCUCCUGUAGGGCUCCAUUGCUACAAAGCGUCCCAUUGUUGUGUAGACGUACUGCACUCUGAACGAUUAAAAUCUAUUUUCUGGAAUUAUGUAAAUAUUACUGUAACCGCAUCGAUCGUGUACAUGAUGCCACUGAACUACUCCCGAGCACACUCGUGUAUUUUUAAGGAACAGCGAAUAGUCCGGUUAGAGUUUCAGCACCACGGAGCUGUCCGAUCGUCUGAAGCACUUAUGAAAACCCACUCGUGUCAUGGCGUUUAGGGGUCGGCACUUAAUUUUGAAAACAGCGCCACCCUCCAAUUUUUAGAGAAAUAUCUGCACAAUAAGUGGGGAUUAAAUACACAGGGGUUAAAGUGUGUCACUAUGUUGUUUUUCCCAAUAUAGAUGCCAAGGCUACGUUUUAAAUUCUUUCACUCUGUUGAUUUACACAUAGGAAUUAAUGAAUGUUUAGAUAUUAUACAUAAAAUAUCAAUUUAUACCCUAAAACUCGGGAGUAAAACACAAACAAACAAUGUGUUGUUUUUAGCCCACCACUGCGUUAAGUCCAAUCAGGACCAGCCUAACACUGGGCUUCUCUACCACAACAAGAUGUGCGACAAAUUCACAGAGAUGCAUGUUUUUCAUACACAAAUAGCAGAGGCUGCUUUGGCUUACAUUUGUGGAAAUUCUUUGUACUUUCCAUCUCUUAUUUUACCUCAGUACUGUCCUCUUUGAGCUUUUAAAGGCAUAGUUUUCAGCGGUACAGGCAAAAAAAAAUUGACUGUUAACCCUGCAGCUGUGUACUUUUGAAUUCUCUCUCAAUUUUUAUAGUCAAAAAGGAGAAUCAAACACGUGACCAGGCAGAUGGGUUAAACUACAACAAUCCACUUCCACUCAGAUUGCACAAAAAUUAGCUACAAGGUUGAAACACCAUAAAGUCAAAUUAACAUAACUGGCAUAUCAGAGUUUACAAAAGCAAAGUAAGUUAGACUUGUACCUGCAAUGUUGAAGCUGCUGAGUCACUAGUAUCUGUCAGUCCUGUACCUCUGGGUAUACUGGACACAAUGUAUCUGGAUCCCUUUGGCACAGGCUGUCUGACCACCAGCUUUCCUUUCCUGGUCUCUGCUAGAAACAGACUGUACCAGUAGGCAUCAUUGGACACCAGAGUGGAGUCUGCGAUGGUGGAGUUCCUCUCACUGAUCACACUGUUCCUGCAGGGAGGAGCCGCUUUGCUGGGCUUGGUUUUCUGACACUUGAGCACGAUGGUGACCAGUAUGGUGAUGAGCAGGAGAAAUGACACCGAGCCCAGACCGAUGACCAAGUACAGGUUCAGGUCAUUGAAGAUGUCGUACGCCAGAGGCACCUCAGUCAUGUCAGAGUAGGCCUUGACAGCAGUCUCCACUGUGGACAGCUUGAUGGUGACUGUAGCAGACAAAGCGGGCUGCCCGUUGUCCUUGGCAACCACAACCAGUCUCUGGUGGCGUGGGUCUCUGUAGCUGAACAUCCUCAUGGUCCGGAUCUCUCCGUUGUACUGGUCCAGACUGAACAAGGUGGCGUCAGUCACCUGCAGAAACUGGUAGGUGAUCCGAGAGUUGUGCACAGAGUCUGUGUCCAAGGCUAUCACCUUGGCAACCAGAGAGCCUUUAUCUGUGGACCUGGGGAUCUUUUCCUCCACCACUGAGCCAUGUGCUCUCCAUGGAGACACAAUGACCGGAGCGUUAUCAUUCUGGUCCACAAUGAUGAUGUGGACUGUGACGUUACUGCUGAGAGGAGGAGAGCCAGAGUCUCUGGCCUCAAUGUGGAAAAGAAAGUCCUUCUCAAUCUCAUAGUCAAAAGUUUUGAGUGCGUAAAGAUUUCCGUUCUCUGGAUUGAUGGAGAACAGCAUGGACAUGGAGGUGUUGGCUAUCUCCUUCUCCAGGAUGAAAUAAACUAGAUACUGGUUUUCAUGGAGGUCAGGGUCAAAGGCAGUGAGGGAGCUGAGCAGGGCUCCAGGUGCGUUAUUCUCCAUCACACGGAUGGUAUAAAAUGACUGAGGGAACUGUGGGACAUUGUCGUUGACAUCCAGCAGCUCUAAGGUCAUAGUUUCAUUGUCAGAUAAAGGAGGAGAACCUCUGUCUGUCACAGUGAAGGUGAUGUCAUAUUCUGGAACCUUCUCACGGUCUAAGGGCUCUGACACCACUAACUCAUAAUAGUUAUCAGAGGACUCUCUCAGUUUGAAAGGCAUAUUAUCUGGAAUAUGAAGAUCAACCACUCCAUUAUCACCAGAGUCUUUAUCACUCACACUUACCACAGCUAUCACUGUGUCUAGUUCUAUGUUUUCAUUGACUGGACUCUGAAAUGAUUUAAUAGAUAUUUCUGGGUGGUUAUCAUUCAUGUCUUCUACCAGAAUCUUUAUGGUACACUGUCCUGAUAAACUGUUGGCUCCUUUGUCAGUAGCUAUAACUUCCAUAUCAUAAAUCCUGAAAUCCUCAUAAUUCAGCAUGCCUUUAACAGUGAUUUCACCAGUGGAGGGAUUCAGGUGAAAUGUUUCCUGUGUUUUCUCUGAUGUGUAUAAACUGUAAGAGUAAGUUACAUCAGAGUUAGAUCCCUCAUCUAAGUCUGUGGCAUUCAGAUGAAUAACAAGACUCCCUAUGGGAGAGUUUUCCAUUAUUUUAAUGUUAUAAUUUACUUUGCUAAACACAGGAGGGUUAUCAUUUGUGUCUGAAACAUGAACUAUCACACUUGCAGUACCAGAUCGAGCCGGUGUGCCUCCAUCUACAGCUGUGAGAAUCAAAUUAUGAACAGCAUUGUGCUCCCGGUCUAGGGCCUUUGUCAAAAUCAGUUCAGCAAAUUUCGUCCCCUCUCUUCCAGUCUGCACCUCAAUACUAAAAUGUUCACUUUCACUGAGAAGAUACGUUUUUACCGAGUUUGUUCCGACAUCAGGAUCAGCUGCAUUACUCAGAGAGAAUCUCUCUCCUACAGGCGUAGCUUCAGAGAUAUCCAGAUGAAUGGCGUCUCUUCUGAACUGUGGGGCGUUGUCGUUUAUGUCCAGAAUUUCUAAUUCUGUAUUAAAUAUCCUUAAUGGGUUUUCGAGUAUUACCUCCAUUCUAAGAUAGCAAGACGACUUUGCAGGACAGAUGUGCUCUCUAUCUAUCUUCUCAACAAUGUACAAUUCCCCAGUCUCUUUGUUCACGUCCAGAUAUUUCUUAUUUGCAAUGAUGUCGACUCGCAUCUUUCGCUGCGCCAGUGUCUUGACAUCAAUAUUUAGAUCGCCGGCAAUGUUUGCAACAACUGAUCCCUCUUUCAUUUCUUCGGGUAUUGAAUAAUGAGUCACCGAGGACGAUAUUUCACUGAUGAAAGAUGCGACAUGAAGGAGCAGCACGUACCUUAUGAAUGUCUCCAUUGUUACUAAGCGUCCCAUUGUUGUGUCCGCAUGUACUGAACGUUAACCCCGGUAAUAUAAAUUCCCACUGAUAAGGAGAAUUGUUGUAACUUCUUCGAUCCGAUACAUAUUUUUCAAGAAUUCCGAGAGUACUUAAGCAUUGAAGCAAAAAACAAGAACACGUCUCUUGACUGGAGUUUCAGCACCACGAAGCUGUCCGCCUUUUUCACCAUCUGUGCUG